rnacentral:lncRNA from 1 species
GAGGAGCUUAGGAUUCUCAAAGAUUGUGUUUGCUGGAGAAACCAAAGAACUAGUUGGGGCUGUAAUUAGACCUCCUGCUUGGCCAUCUUUUAAGUGGAUGUCGAAAGCUAAAUGCACACAAUUGGAGAGAGUUGAUCGGAAGUUGAUUUGGGGUGCUUAUCGUAUAGUGCUAAGUGUGGUGUUAUGGGAUAUUUCUCGUGGCCACAAGCUUCCCUUCUUGGCUAGGAGAUCUUUUUGGAUAAUUCUAUGGAAAGUGUUUGUUGUUUGUUGUUUAUUGUUUAUUGUGUUGCCUGUGAUUGAUCUAGAUCGCCAUUUUUCGGUAUAUGGUAUGUAAUCCUUGUUGUUUCAGACUGUGUUUCGAAGCUUAUAGUAAUAUGGAAAGGUUAUAGUGGAAAAAAAAUUGUGUGCAUUUUGUACCUCUCGUACAGAUUGUCAUGAGAUGAUGGUCCAAGUCUUAGACUGUAUAAAUACUACUAAGUCUUUGGAAGGUGACACAGAAUAAAACAAAAAAAUCACACAAAAAGUAUAGAUCAAACAAAAUAAUUAUAAACUAGAUUUUGACCCGCACAACCGUGCGGGUAUUAUUUUUUCAUGAAUUAAAUUUAAAAA